rnacentral:misc_RNA from 1 species
GAUGAAGAACGUAGUGAAAUGCGAUACGUAGUGUGAAUUGCAGAAUUCAGUGAAUCAUCGAAUCUUUGAACGCACAUUGCACCUCUUGGUAUUCCGGGAGGUAUGCCUGUUCGAGCGUCAUUUGUACCCUCAAGCUCUGCUUGGUGUUGGGUGUUUGUUCCGCCUCUGUGUGUGAACUCGCCUCAAAACAAUUGGCAGCCGGCGUACUUGUUUCGGAGCGCAGCACAUUUUGCGAUCCAGAUCAACGUACAGCGGCAUCCAAGAAGCCUUAUUUAACGCUCUUGACCUCGGAUCAGGUAGGGAUACCCGCUGAACUUAAGCAUAUCAAUAAGCGGAGGA